GUGAGGAGGCUGCGGGUGCACUGGGAGCUGGGAGGGGACGCAGCCAGGACAGCUGGCCCAAACUGGCCAGAGCCAUGUCCCAUACCGUAUGGGGUCGUGCUCAAGACUGGGACUGAGCGGGUUGGCCAGAGUGUGGGGGAGGAAGAACUUCUU